GACGAACGCUGGCGGCAUGCCUAACACAUGCAAGUCGAACGAAGCCUUCGGGCUUAGUGGCGCACGGGUGCGUAACGCGUGGGAACCUACCAUCAGGUUCGGAAUAACAGUUAGAAAUGACUGCUAAUACCGGAUAAUGUCUUCGGACCAAAGAUUUAUCGCCUUUUGAUGGGCCCGCGUAAGAUUAGGUAGUUGGUGGGGUAAAGGCCUACCAAGCCGACGAUCUUUAGCUGGUCUGAGAGGAUGAUCAGCCACACUGGGACUGAGACAUGGCCCAGAUCCUACGGGAGGCAGCAGUGGGGAAUAUUGGAC
rnacentral:rRNA from 1 species